UUGGUUUUUUUUUUUUUUUUUUUUGGUUGGUUGGUUGGUUUUUUUCCCUGACUGCGCUUUCUAAGUUCAGAUGUCUCGCUUUCGGGAUUUUGUAAACCCGCGGUUCGUCCCGCUUUACUUCCGUGACGGCUGCGCGGCUUUCUGCCACCGCGACUGUCGGUGGGAUUCCCGUGCGCUCCGGCUGCUGAGGCAAAUGGGGGAUCCCGCCUUAAUAUCCGAUUUCGUGUUUCUCUUUCAGUGAUCCCAGUGACAGGAUGACACAGUUUAUGUAAGCUUGUGACUGCAUCAGAAGCUCUUCCACUUUUGAUUUGUUUAAACCAGCCAUGUUUGCCAAGUGUUUAAGGUUGGGCUGGGAAAGAUAGUGCUGUGGAUUGCUCAAGGGUGUAGGAGAGGCCAGGCAGGUUUCCCUCUGUGCUUUAAAAGGACUUAAGUGUUUCUAUGGCGGGGUGCCACGGCUCCCUUACACCGGCACGCUCAGCAGCCAUGCAGCACCAACGGGGAAAGACAUCUUCUAUUCGAUUAAUAACGUUUUGGAAUUCACAUGACAAAAAAACCCCUUCCUUUAAAUAUUUAAUUUCAUAUCACCAAUAUGUGCCAUUUCCAUUUUUAGUUGUCCAAAGCAUUUUAUAUGUAUCUGGUUCUAGUCUAUAAAACUGGCAAAUGAGUCUGA